rnacentral:rRNA from 1 species
UACGGAGGGUGCAAGCGUUAUCCGGAUUCACUGGGCGUAAAGGGUGCGUAGGCGGGUCUUUAAGUCAGGGGUGAAAUCCUGGAGCUCAACUCCAGAACUGCCUUUGAUACUGAGGAUCUUGAGUUCGGGAGAGGUGAGUGGAACUGCGAGUGUAGAGGUGAAACUCGUAGAUAUUCGCAAGAACACCAGUGGCGAAGGCGGCUCACUGGCCCGAUACUGACGCUGAGGCACGAAAGCGUGGGGAGCAAACAGG